AAGAUCUGCAAAUUCCUCUAGAGCAUUCUCCAAGUUUUCCAAAUAAAAUUUGAAUUUCAAAUUCCAAAAACAUUCAAAAACCAAAAAAAGAGUAGAAAACAACAAAGAAAAAUCUAAAACAGGUAUUGUCCAUUGAAAUUUCAGAAGAAAUUGAGUCCCUAGAAUUUUGGAUUCGAGUUUCAAGCCAUUUUGGGUUCUUCAAGUUAUUCUAGGUGUUUCUAGUUGUUGAGGCUGUUGUCAUUUUUGGGCGUAUUCGAUUCCAAUUUGAGUCAAAUUAUGGGUAUAUUUGAGCUCUUUGGUUGAUGUCAAGUUGAUACUGGUUUAUUCAGUCAAUUUUGGGUCUGUUUGCUGGUGUUUUACUUUUGGGAUUCCAGACUUACUGUUGUGAUCUACUGCUAUUUGCUACUGAUUUUCCUUCUUCUUUCACUUUCAAUAACUCCAGGUAUGUUGCUAUAGAUCUCGAAUUUUGCACUGAAAAUAAAAUGUUGCUUGUGUGUUUUUUGCACUAGCAGCUAGUUCAUGAUUCUGUUGCAUUUCUGUGUAAAGUGAUCUAGUUUCAUUUAAAAUUGAAAGAUGUUAUUGUAUAUUGGACGUUAGUAUGUAGUUGUUUAUACUGAAGUAAAUUAGGACUGUUCAUAGAAUUAACAACUAUUUGAGACUGUAAUUAAGGACUGCUGGAAUUUAUUUAAUUUUCCGUUUCACCACAGCAAUUACUGCUAGUUUAAAGUUGUUUUAGCUUUUGGUUUGUUCUGUUGUAGUGGUUAAAUUCCGAAUGGGAAGUUAGUUAAUGAUGAAAUUCAUUCAAAAUAGAAGCAUCAGAAUGUUUGGGUAUGUUUAAAUUUUGAAAUGGUAUACUAACAGUCACUUGAGGUCACGUAUAUCUAGAUAUUCAAACAUGUGGGUCUUCUAUUGAUUCGGUUCUAGAUUUAGUCUGCAAAUAAGUGUUAUAAUACGUAUUGGUCAAUCAGUUGUUAAAAUUGGUAAAACAAGACGUUACGCUACACGUAUUGAAUAUGUAUGCAAAAUUGAUUUAAGGCCCACAUUUAAACUGAUUUAAACUGAAUAAGUGUUAUGCAUAAGUGAUGUUGAUAUGAAAAGCUGAUGUUAGAUUCUUGGGUUUAACUAGAUGGCCCGUGGUUGGAAGGUUGGGUUGGAUCUUCAUUUCCAUAAGGCCCCCGUUUGGGCUGUGUUUCGUGCUUCACUGAAAGUCUCAGUGAGACUUCUUUCGCUUAAAUUUAGAACUUGUUUGAAUAUUUAGCAAUGAUGUCUUAAAAUGUAAAUUAAUUAGGGCUUUUUCUUUAUUUUUAGAGACGAUACAUAAUAGAAAAUUGUAGUUGCUCUAGGUUGCGCUUUUAAAAUAAUAAAAUGAGGCUAGCUUUGCCAAAUAAAUGCAUAAAUUGUGGGGCCCUCUUUAAAUGUUCUUAUUAUAUACAUAGAAUUUGAGAUGUGACGUUUAGCAAAUUUUACGGUCUCCCGCAAAUAUAAUAAAUAUGCUAAUCGCUUUAGGCUCGUCAUUAACUAAUAUUACCUUCUUAAGAUUGGGUGAGCAUUUAUGUGACCCAAAUCUAAACCUCAACGAAGUCAAAAUGAGUCAAAAACCGCGAGUGCAUUUAUGUGCCGUGGUUCAAGACCCGUUUUCACAACGUUGAAAUUCUCUUUAAAAUAAUAACAAAAGCGGUUUAAAGUUAAAAAAGCACAAAAGUUACAACAUGUUUUAAAAUUAGGUAUAUAGCUAUUUAUAAUAGUUUAAGCGAUCGUGCUAGAACCACGGGAUCCAGGGACGCCUAACACCUUCCCUCGGGCCAAUAGAAUUCCUUACUUAGAAUUUCUUGGUAGCAGGCUCCAAUCUGGGAAGUCGAAAAUUUUCCUCGAUUCGGGAUUCAAGAAACCGGUGACAUGGGACACCAAAAGCCAAACCUAUCCCAAGUGGCGACUCUAAAUAAAUAAAUAAUUCCUAUUUGAAUAAUGUCACUUAAAAUAGAAAAAACUCCCUUAUACUUUAUCCUUCGGGGUAGAUGUAAAAAUGAGGUAUGACAUCGAGUGUCAAAGACAAGCAUGAUAUCAUUAUGAAUAUAAAGUCCGAAAAUUUAUCAAAAUAAUGAGUUACCACUGAUAUCUGAUAUAUUUGUGAUCGCUAAAUAUAUAGUUCCUUUAUUUAAUACGCACAUUUAUCUCUAAUUGUGUGUUUGAAAGUUUUCUUAACCAUGUUUAGAAGAGAAAUCAUAAAAGAUUUCUAAGUGGCUUAGCAUUCUUGGGUGAAUGUUAAGUAAAAAGUUUAUCCAAAAUUAACAUCAUUUUAUCCAAGUAACUAGGCACCUUAUUCCAAUUGUUUGGAAUAUGUGAAGUAUAUCAUUUUCAUCUAGGACUUUAUGAUAUGAUUGUACAUGUACAAAAAGAAUAUGAUUCUUCUUUGUGCCAAUAUCUUCAGUUCUUUACCUGGAUCACGGGCAUAAUGGCCUUUGAGCUAAUUGAAUUAACAGACUGACUUUGCCUAAUGAUUCUAAUCCUCUAAUUUAGAAAUGUUUCCCUAACUAAAAGAUCAAUAUUAAUUCAAAAGACUGAAGGAAAUCAAUGUUCCUACAUCAGACAUAAUUUUUUAAGCUAGAUUAAUUAUAAUAGCAGACACAAGGUUCCUGCAUGCAUUAUACUAGAGAAAAACCAAUACUAUUAUAUAAAAUUUGCAUUAUCAUGAUUUUAGACCUACAAACUUUUCUGCACUAGUUGGUUGACAAGAGGGUAGUGUAUAGUUUAAUUAUUGUUAGUGUUAGGUUUUUUAAAAGACCGUUCUCUUCUCCUUUCUUACUCUUCCGAGGAUGGUUCAGGGGGAGCUGGUUCCGCCUCCGGCUGAGGAGGGAAAUUUCAAUCGAUAUGCGGUAGCUUCGACAUGGAGCAGCAAGAAGAUUAAAAUUAUUGAUUGAAAAUGUCUUUCUUAAAUUUUAUUAACCAGCAGAGCUUUAAAUAGCUAACUUAAAACAAAAUCUACAAAAAAUUUGCAGUAUAAAUAUUUAAUUUGAAAAGCCUAGACUAUCUAAAUUAACUUAUCCAAUUCAAUUUAAAUUAAAAUAAAGAUUCUUCAUAUGACUAAACUACUUAUUAUUCUAGUAAAUCAAAUAUUAGCAGUAACAAAUGCAAAACCCAACACCCUUCCUUGCUUUUGUGGCUGCAAUCUAUAAAGGUCUAUCCUUCUCAAUUUCUGCUUUGGUAAUUUGUGCUUAUAUAUUCUUUCAAGUGUUUUUGAACUUGCUUCAUUCUACAAUAUGACUUGUUCUUUCUUUUUCUUUUUCUUCUGGUUUUGUACAUAAAAACAAUCUCAGCAACAUUGUCUUGUUUGAAUGUUCUUCCAAAUAAGUGUUAAUUUGGAUAAUAACAAGACUUGCAAAGCGUAUUUGUAAGGAUCUUUCUUCUAUUACAAUAUUUCAUAAAUCAUAGGUUUCAAUUUACGAUAUUAUUUUCGUUGACCAAAUCUAGUAAUUUUCGCCAGUAAAAGUUUGUAGGUCAUUCAAUAAGAGAAGACUACUCUCCAUUGUUGGAAAAUAAGGUUAAAAUUGAUAUGGGUUAAAAAUGAGCUUGGUUUAAAAAUAGUUAUGAAUUAAAAUGGUUUAAAAGUGGUUGAAAAUAGUUCCUUAGAAUAAAGUCACAGAUCCCAUAACACUCUGUUUGGAUUAUUGUUCCCCGCCAUUUUAUAAUGUAUUGUAUUGUAUCGUAUUGUAUCGUAUCGUUUAUAAAUAUAAUGUUUGAAUAUAUUGUAUUGUUUCUAUUUGUUAAAUAUUAUUUUGAUGUUUUGUUUGACUGUAUACUACUGUAUUGUAACUGAUAAAUUGAUAAAAAUACCAUCAAUUGUUUAAAUAUUAAAUUUAUUAAAAAUUAUGCAUAAAAAUAAUUUAAAAUAAAAAAACAGGCGAAACACCUUAUGAAAGCAGAACAAAUGAGCGAGAAAGAAGAAGGCAAAACGAAGGAGUACAACUAAUUAAGAUUGAGUUAAAAGUAAAUUAGGAGAAAAAAAUAAAAUAAAAGGCGGCAAAACAUCUUUAACGUUGGUGGUAGAAGUUCUUGAAAAAAAAUAAAGUAGGUUGUAGGUUGGAGAUUUGGAGUUAAAAUAGAAAAAAAAAAAGUAAAGAGUAAAAAAGAAUUGUGGAAUAAUUAGUUAGGGCAUAAUUGAAAAAGAAAAAUAGGAAAAAAUCCCACCAUAUCAAAUCAGUUAUUUCAAAAAAGAUGACUUUUCAUUAUUUCGGGCAAUGGAUUUAACAAUACAAUACAAUUAAUUUUAAUGAAAUAAUUAAAACAAAUAUCAUGGGAUAACAAUACAAUACGAUAUAACGGGGAACAACAUCCAAACAAGUUGUAAGACCACUGAGGCUCUGAUAUUACUGUUGGAUUUUUUUCUUAAAGAUACAAUAGCAAGAAGAUUAUAAGCAUUGGUUGAAAAUGUCUUUUAUAAAUUGUAUUAACUAAGAGUGCUUUAAAUAUCCAACUUAAAACAGAAUAUGCAGUAAAUCUGCAGAAUAAAUAUUCAAAUUCAAAAACCUAAAUAACCUCAACUAAUUUAUCCAAUUAAAUUUAAAUUUGAACAAAGACUCCUCGUAUGACUAAAUUGCUUAUAAUUUUGAUAAAUCAAAUAUAAGCGGUAACAAAUGCAAUCCAACAGUUAGCCCAUCGGUCGUCUUAGUUUUAUAAAGUAAUAUUCUUCCUAUAUUAUUAUUUGCCGCAUAGCAAUCCCAAUAUUAUUAAUCACCAUAUAACAAUUUCUUCCUUACUAUUUAAUUUAUUGUAUAAACAAUUUCAGACAUUAUAAUCUAUGCAUAGUUUCUAAAACAGUAUCCUUUUUAAUGAACACUGCACAAAUCUUCAGGCGCUUUGUGUGUUAUUAAUUGAACGCUUAAACUAUGUUAGGCAACUUAUAUACUCACCAAAAGGACUAAUAUUAUCAAGGUGUUUAUAAUGUUAAUUUUCCACUCUCAUGCCCAAAAUAAGAAACCUAACCUUUAUUAUAAAUUUGCAGUCAUUCUGAAAGCGGAAACACUUGUGUGUUUGUAUAGUUGAGUUGUUUGGAUUAUCAAAGAAGAAAUAGAAUAUCCCAUUCUAGACAAGUUGUUUGGGGAUCUUUUCAUACUCACUCUCAAAUUUCAAAAGUAAUAAUAUUGAUCUGCAAUUGGAAUGCUAGGGAAUAAAGCCCCACUAAAAUUUGUCUUGUUUUGCUCGCAAAUGCCUCUUCCCUAUUAUUG
rnacentral:lncRNA from 1 species